AUCACUUCUCGGCCUUUUGGCUAAGAUCAAGUGUAGUAUCUGUUCUUACCAGUAUUUAAAAUGUUUCAUAAGGGGAUUUGAAAGUUAUAUCACCUGGGCACUCUGACGGUUUGAUUAGCUCUUUUAGAAGAUACAGUAUAUUUAGUAGUAGUGCUUGCUAC
rnacentral:snRNA from 1 species